rnacentral:rRNA from 1 species
GUUUGAUCCUGGCUCAUAACGAACGCUGGCGGCAGGCUUAACACAUGCAAGUCGAACGGUUGUAGCAAUACAGCAGUGGCAGACGGGUGAGUAACACGUGGGAACCUUCCUAGGGGUACGGAACAACUCAGGGAAACUUGAGCUAAUACCGUAUACGUCCGUGAGGAGAAAGAUUUAUCGCCCCUAGACGGGCCCGCGUAGGAUUAGGUAGUUGGUGAGGUAACGGCUCACCAAGCCUACGAUCCUUAGCUGAUCUGAGAGGAUGAUCAGCCACACUGGGACUGAGACACGGCCCAGACUCCUACGGGAGGCAGCAGUGGGGAAUCUUGGACAAUGGGCGCAAGCCUGAUCCAGCCAUGCCGCGUGAGUGAAGAAGGCCUUCGGGUUGUAAAGCUCUUUUACCAGGGACGAUAAUGACGGUACCUGGAGAAUAAGCCCCGGCAAACUUCGUGCCAGCAGCCGCGGUAAUACGUAGGGUGCAAGCGUUAAUCGGAAUUACUGGGCGUAAAGCGUGCGCAGGCGGUUUUGUAAGACAGAGGUGAAAUCCCCGGGCUCAACCUGGGAACUGCCUUUGUGACUGCAAGGCUAGAGUACGGCAGAGGGGGAUGGAAUUCCGCGUGUAGCAGUGAAAUGCGUAGAUAUGCGGAGGAACACCGAUGGCGAAGGCAAUCCCCUGGGCCUGUACUGACGCUCAUGCACGAAAGCGUGGGGAGCAAACAGGAUUAGAUACCCUGGUAGUCCACGCCCUUAAACGAUGUCAACUGGUUGUUGGGUCUUCAUUGACUCAUUAACGAAGCUAACGCGUGAAGUUGACCGCCUGGGGAGUACGGCCCGCAAGGUUGAAACUCAAAGGAAUUGAACGGGGACCCGCACAAGCGGUGGAUGAUGUGGUUUUAAUUUCGAUGCAACGCCGAAAAACCUUUACCCACCUUUUGACAUGGCAUGGAAUCCCAUUAAUAGAUUAGAGGAGUGCUCGUAAAGAGAAACCUUGCCACACCAGGUCGCCUGCCAUGACCUGUUCGCCAGCCUCGAUGUCCGUGAGAAUGUUUGGGGUUUAAAGUCCCUGCAAACGAGCCGGCAACCCUUGGCCAUUUUAGUUUGCCUCACGAAACGGGCCCCUUCUAAUUGUGGGACCUGCCCGGGUGAACCAACCCGGGAGGUAAUGGCGUGCGAAUGAACGCUCCAAGCCCUCCUUGACCCUUAUGUGUGGGGCCUUACACAGCUAUAUGACAUUGAGGGCGUCGUGGGACACAAAACUGGC